CACUGUAAAUAACAUAUAUAUAAAAAUAUAUUGAACUGUAUUGAAAACAUUUUAUAAUGUACCAUAAACAUGAAGUAGCUAAAUGUGAAAUAUCUCUGCUUGAAUUUAUACGAGAUGCGGAAUAAAAUGUGCACUGGCAACGUAUCCUAUUCAUUUCCAUUUCCCCAGGUAUCUCAGAGAAAUCAUCUGCACUGGCAACGUAUCCUAUUCAUUUCCAUUUCCCCAGGUAUCUCAGAGAAAUCAUCUGCACUGGCAACGUAUCCUAUUCAUUUCCAUUUCCCCAGGUAUCUCAGAGAAAUCAUCUGCACUGGCAACGUAUCCUAUUCAUUUCCAUUUCCCCAGGUAUCUCAGAGAAAUCAUCUGCACUGGCAACGUAUCCUAUUCAUUUCCAUUUCCCCAGGUAUCUCAGAGAAAUCAUCUGCACUGGCAACGUAUCCUAUUCAUUUCCAUUUCCCCAGGUAUCUCAGAGAAAUCAUCU